GAAAUGCGAUAAUUAAUGUGAAUUGCAGAAUUCAGUGAAUCAUCGAGUCUUUGAACGCACAUUGCGCCCCCUGGUAUUCCCGGGGGCAUGCCUGUCCGAGCGUCAUUGCUGCCCUCAAGCACGGCUUGUGUGUUGGGCUUCCGUCCCUGGCAACGGGGACGGGCCCAAAAGGCAGUGGCGGCACCAUGUCUGGUCCUCGAGCGUAUGGGGCUUUGUCACCCGCUCCCGUAGGUCCAGCUGGCAGCUAGCCUCGCAACCAAUCUUUUUAACCAGGUUGACCUCGGAUCAGGUAGGGAUACCCGCUGAACUUAAGC
rnacentral:misc_RNA from 1 species